rnacentral:rRNA from 1 species
UACGGAGGAUCCGAGCGUUAUCCGGAUUUAUUGGGUUUAAAGGGAGCGUAGGUGGAUUGUUAAGUCAGUUGUGAAAGUUUGCGGCUCAACCGUAAAAUUGCAGUUGAUACUGGCAUCCUUGAGUACAGUAGAGGUAGGCGGAAUUCGUGGUGUAGCGGUGAAAUGCUUAGAUAUCAUGAAGAACUCCGAUCGCGAAGGCAGCAUACCGGCGCCCAACUGACGCUGAAGCACGAAAGCGUGGGUAUCGAACAGG